UACGGAGGGUGCGAGCGUUAUCCGGAAUUACUGGGUUUAAAGGGUGCGGAGGCGGCUAUGUAAGUCAGGAGUGAAAGUUUGCGGCUCAACCGUAAAAUUGCUUUUGAUACUGCAUGGCUGGAAUUAGGAUGAGGUCAGCGGAAUGUGGCAUGUAGCGGUGAAAUGCAUAGAUAUGCCAUAGAACACCAAUUGCGAAGGCAGCUGGCUAGACCUGGAUUGACGCUGAGGCACGAAAGCGUGGGGAGCGAACAGG
rnacentral:rRNA from 1 species